UGGUCCUUCGCCGAGCUGCUGCCGCCCGCGCGGUACGCGCCGCUGGAGCUAGGGGUGGACCUUGGUGCCCCGCUCCUGCGGCCCGGCACUCGGGAAAGUUGCGGGGCCGAGGAGACUGCUAGAGGCGGGGGCGUGGGCCUGGCAGCCCGCGGGGAGCACACGGAGAUGAGAAACAGAUGUCAGAGCUGGACUGAGCCUUUGCGCUCCCCCGCCCGCUCGAUCCCUUCCCCAGCAGCCUGGGUGUAACAAGGCAGCACUCAUCCUGCGGCCACGUGAACUGGCAGCUACUGGGUGCGGAUCCCCGUGGGGGAAACCUACAAGAAAAACAAACAGACAAACAAACAAAAACUAAUAAAGAAGCUUGCCCUUGGUGGAAAGGCUGUGACAGGAGCUCAAGUCAUUUUAUUUUAUAAAUAGUGAUUUCCCCCCCCUCUUCUUGUAGUGGAUUCUAUUGGAGUUAGUUUUUGUGUGGAUUUUUAUUGUUUUGUUUUUGAGACUGGGUCUCACUGUGUAGACCAGGCUGGACUUGAACUUUUAGAGAUCCGUAUGUCUCUGUCUACCAAGUGCCACCAAGCAUGGCUGGGUUUUUCUUUAAAAGCAAAACAAACAAACCGCAAACACAUUGAUUCAUAACUGCUGUCUGGGUCCCUCUGUCAUGAAGAGGUCACUUCUGGUGCAAAGAAGGAAGAGGUUUAGAGAGGUAGACCGUAACAAAGCGCGGGUGGGGGAAGGGAGGCACCUGUGCAAAGUGUUAAGAACUGCUACUAUGCCAGAUGCGCUGAAUGUGACACAGUUCUUUAUAGCAGUGAUCCUCCCGCCUGCAAGAUCCAGGCCUCUGACUGCCUGGUCGCUGCGAAUCCAGGAGGCGCACAGACUGCAAACCAGGGGGAGAGGAUCAGCGCCUGCAGAUUGAGCUCCAUCUGAUUUGCAUGUUUAUUUCCUAGAAUUGUAAUUAAAUUUGUGUAAUAAAUGUUUUCCAUUUCAUUUGUACACUCAAAAUUUGGGUGACUGACAUGCAGCUAAGUGAAUUUCCUUUUUUUUAUUUUAUGAAGUAAAUGUGCCUUAUUCAAUAAAGUAGCAAAUAUUAACCAUC
rnacentral:lncRNA from 1 species